UGGCCGCGGUAUUUUGACCGUGCAAAGGUAGCAUAAUCAUUAGUCUAUUAAUUGUGGACUGGAAUGAAUGGUUGGACGAGAUAUUAACUGUCUUAUUUAUAUUAUUUGAAUUUAAAUUUUAAGUUAAAAUGCUUAAAUUUUUUUAUCGGACGAGAAGACCCUAUAGAUCUUUAUUAUACUUUAUAUUAAUUUUUUUGGAUUUAAUUUAUAUUUUAUUAAUAUAUUAUAUUUUUUGGUUGGGGUGACAUGAGGAAAUAAUUAACUCUUUAUAUAUUUAUUCAUUUAUUUUUGUUUAAUUGACCUUUUAUUAUUGUUAUAAGAUAUAGAUACCUUAGGGAUAACAGCGUAAUUCUUUUUGAGAGUUCAUAUUGACAAAGGAGAUUGCGACCUCGAUGUUGGAUUAAGAUUAAUAAUUGGUGUAGAAGUUAAUUUAUUAGGUCUGUUCGACCUUUAAAAUCUUACAUGAUCUGAGUUCAAA
rnacentral:rRNA from 1 species